rnacentral:rRNA from 1 species
UACGUAGGGUGCAAGCGUUGUCCGGAAUUAUUGGGCGUAAAGAGCUCGUAGGCGGUCUGUCGCGUCGGCUGUGAAAUCCCGAGGCUCAACCUCGGGUCUGCAGUCGAUACGGGCAAACUAGAGUAUUGCAGGGGAGACUGGAAUUCCUGGUGUAGCGGUGAAAUGCGCAGAUAUCAGGAGGAACACCGAUGGCGAAGGCAGGUCUCUGGGCUGAUACUGACGCUCAUGCACGAAAGCGUGGGGAGCAAACAGG